GCUUACGGCCACACCGCCUGGUUCACGCUUGAUCUCGGAAGCUAAGAUAGGUUGGGGCUGGUUAGUACUUGGAUGGGAGACCGCCUGGGAAUACCAGGUGCUGUAAGCU
rnacentral:rRNA from 1 species